CCUACGUGCGGCAGCAGUGGGGAAUAUUGGGCAAUGGGCGCAAGCCUGAACCAGCAAAGCCGCGUGAAGGAAGAAGGCUCUAGGGUUGGAAACUUCUUUUCUCAGGGACGAAGAAAGUGACGGGACCUGAGGAAUAAGCCACGGCUAAAUACGUUCCAGCAGCCGCGGUAAUACGUAGGUGGCAAGCGUUAUCCGGAUUUACUGGGUGUAAAGGGGGUGUAGGCGGGACUGGAAGUCAGAUGUGAAAACCACGGGCUCAACUUGCGGCCUGCAUGUGAAACUGUGGUUCUUGAGUACUGGGGAGGCAGACGGAAUUCCUGGUGUAGCGGUGAAAUGCGUAGAUAUUAGGAGGAACACCAGUGGCGAAGGCGGUCUGCUGGACAGCAACUGACGCUGAGGCGCGAAAGCGUGGGGAGCAAACAGGAUUAGAUACCCGAGUAGUC
rnacentral:rRNA from 1 species